rnacentral:rRNA from 1 species
GACGAACGCUGGCGGCGUGCUUAACACAUGCAAGUCGAACGACGUGGCGAACGGGUGAGUAACGCGUAAUCAACCUGCACUUCCGAGGGGGACAACAGUUGGAAACGACUGCUAAUACCGCCUACUUCAGGAGGGGAUUGCGUCAGUUUAGCUAGUUGGAGGGGUACCGGCCCACCAAGGCGAUGAUCAGUAGCCGUGCUGAGAGGAUGACCGGCCACCUUGGGACGGAGGCACGGCCCAGACUCCUACGGGAGGCAGCAGUGGGGAAUCUUCCACAAUGGACGAAGGUCUGACGGAGCAACGCCGCGUGAGUGAUGACGGCCUUCGGGUUGUAAAGCUCUGUUAAUCGGGACGCGGUACCGGAAUAGAAAGCCACGGCUAACUACGUGCCAGCGGCCGCGGUAAUA